AAAUGUGAGCUUGUCCACGUUGGCUGUGGACAGGCGGCUGCGCUUGUCUGUGAUAACCUCAUGCCAAUUGCACUUCCCCGUGACAGCGACAACGCAUUCGGAUGUCUGCCCUAUCAACUUUCGAUGCUAUUUUCCGCAGCUACCAUGGUGACCAUGGGUAACAGGGAAUCAGGGUUCAAUUCCAGAGAGGGAUCCUGAGAAACGGCUACCACGUGCAAGGAAGGCAGUAGGCGUGCAAACUACCCACUCCCGACGCGGGGAGGUAGUGA